rnacentral:rRNA from 1 species
GGAUGCGAUCAUACCAGCACUAAGCACCGGAUCCCAUCAGAACUCCGCAGUUAAGCGUGCUUGGGCGAGAGUAGUACUAGGAUGGGGUGACCUCCUGGGAAGUCCUCGUGUUGCAUCCC